rnacentral:rRNA from 1 species
ACCAUUAAGUUGAGGACUCUAGCGAGACUGCCUGGGUUAACCAGGAGGAAGGUGGGGAUGACGUCAAAUCAUCAUGCCCCUUAUGUGUAGGGCUACACACGUGCUACAAUGGCUGGUACAGAGAGAUGCAAUACCGCGAGGUGGAGCCAAACUUAAAAACCAGUCUCAGUUCGGAUUGUAGGCUGAAACUCGCCUACAUGAAGCUGGAGUUACUAGUAAUCGCGAAUUAGAAUGUCGCGGUGAAUACGUUCCCGGGUCUUGUACACACCGCCCGUCACACCAUGAGAGUUGGCAAUACCCGAAGUCCGUGAGCUAACCGCAAGGAGGCAGCGGCCGAAGGUAGGGUCAGCGAUUGGGGUGAAGUCGUAACAAGGUAGCCGUAGGAGAACCUGCGGCUGGAUCACCUCCUUUCUAAGGAA